UGUUGGUUUACAGGUGGGCUUUUAUUUUUAACUUUUUUGUAAUCAUGGGUUUUUUAAAUAGAUUUUUCCAGAGAUUGUAUCAAAAAGACACUGGGAUUUAGAAGUUUUACAAAAAUGUCACGAUAACUAUUCCAGUAUACCUAACAAGCUUAUAUACCUAUAAUUAGUGUGGUAUGAAUGUAGGUACUGUAGUAAGAAGACGGCACUGGAUGUUUGUUUAAAUAAAGUGAGAGAAAAUCACCGAAUCAUUCCAUUUUAAGACUGAAUUUUUGUAUGAUUUCUAAAAUUAUUCAACAAUGAUAUGGUUCAUAAAACAAAUCUUAGGCAUAGGAAAAUCAGG